rnacentral:sRNA from 2 species
CGCUUCCUCUUUGGGGAGUAGCCUACUUUCGACUUCGCGCGAAAGGGCUGCGUCAACAUUCUUGGCCUUAAUGCCAUGGCGCAGCCGGCCGAAAGGCAUGGCGAGACCAUAGACUCUUCCAGUGCGCAGCCGAGCCGUACUGGGAAGUCCAUGUGUCGCUCGGCU